GGGUGUGGGGGUGUGCACUGAAUGAUAUAUAAGUGCAGUUACUUCAGUGAUUCAGUUCUAUAUCCGGCAUGCUGUGGUGUGUCAAUCACACUACUUAAAAACUAAAUAAGUGAUAGAUACUAAGUAGGAUCUUCAUAAUUCAUAUUAAGGAAAAAAAAUAUUGGCAUGGCCCAACUACUUGAGGCCUCAAAUAUCCUUUAUGAACAGUUCUCUUCGAAGCAUGAGGGCUUGCUAAGUAUUUAGUGAAGAUGGAUUUGUAGUCAU
rnacentral:lncRNA from 1 species